rnacentral:rRNA from 1 species
CACACCGCCCGUCACACCAUGGGAGCGGGUUCUGCCAGAAGUAGUUAGCCUAACCGCAAGGAGGGCGACUACCACGGUGAGAUUCAUGACUGGGGUG